rnacentral:rRNA from 1 species
CCUACGGGAGGCAGCAGUGGGGAAUAUUGCACAAUGGCGGAAACGCUGAUGCAGCGACGUCGCGUGAGUGAAGAAGGAUUUCUGGAUUGUAAGCUCUUUUUGUAGGGGAGUAAAGGUCUCUACCUGAGUAUGAUUGCCUGUCUAACUAGGUGCCAGCAGCCGCGGUAAUAUGUAGGGGGCAAGCGUAAUCCGGAUUUACUGGGUGUAAGGGGAGCGUAUACGGUAGCUGAGGUCUGAAGUGAAAUCUCAUGGCUUAACCAUGGAACUGCCUUGGAAACUGUACAGCUGGAGUGUGUGAGAGGUAGGCGGAAUGCGUGGUGUAGCGGUGAAAGGCGUAGAUAUUAGGCAGAACACCGGUGGCGAAGGCAGCUUACUAAGCUAUAACUGACAUUGAAGCACGAAAGCGUGGGGAGCAAACAGGAUUAGAUACCCCGGUAGUC